CGUGUGGCUAGUGGCUACUAUGUUUUCUCUCUGAGUUUCUAGGGUUUUCGCCGCCGCUCUUCAACAUCAAGUCGUCUUUGAACUUCAAGCCACCGUUUGUUUUUUCGUUCUCUCCUUAUAGCUCUAUAACACAAACGUUUUCAAUGGCGAACAUACCCUCAAGAACGUUUUCAAUGAUGUUGUAACCAACAUGUACUACUUGGAAGUUUUCAAUAAUGUUACUCUUUAGAUUUUUAUGCAUUUGUUAACUAAUGUUUUGAAUAUUAGACCAUGUUGUUACUUUGUUAACUAAUGUUUUGAAUAUUAUUUGUCUUUUCAAAGUUUUAUUUUGGUUCAAGGAUUCUUCCACUUAAUACAAGAUGCAAUUCACACAAGGAGUUCAAAACAUUGAUGUUGAUGGGAACACACAAGGAACUAGGAGCUUUCAAGAUCAUUCUGUACCUUCUCAACCUAAUGAUUCAGUCAUGGCAGAAGAUACUCCAACAACAACAUCACCCAUUGAACCAACCGCACCACUUCCUCCUAUUGGUCGGAAGAAAAGAAGAGUUAAUGCAAAUUCUAUUAGAAAGAGGUCUGAGGUAUGGGACCACUUUAAGCUUAUUCCUAAUAGUGAUCCCGCAACUGCGGCAUGUAAGUAUUGUCAUCAAAAGUACAUGUGUGACUCUAAGAAACAUGGAACGUCAAACUUAAAGAGUCAUAUGAAAACAUGUCCUAAGUAUCCGUUAAACCUCUAAACCGACCCUACCCAAACUGUAUUGACAUAUUCAACAACUCAGGGAGAUGUUUUGGUUCCAACAUCUUCUAGGUUUGAUCCUUUAGGUUGUAGAAAGGAGUUGGCUUACUUUAUCAUUUUAGAUGAGAAGCCAUUUAUUACAGUUGAAGGAGAGGGAUUCAAGUACUUUUGUAACCAAAUGCAACUCCAAUUUACUAUACCAUCAAGGAGAACCAUAGCUAGGGAUUGUUUUUCAGAUAUAUCUUGAUGAGAAAGUGAGGUUGAGAGCGUUAUUCAAGUCUGAUUGUAGUAGGGUGGCAAUUACAACAGAUUGUUGGACUUCCGUUCAAAAUCUUAACUACUUAACCCUCACUGCCCAUUUUAUAGAUAAGGAUUGGCAAUACCAAAAGAGGAUAAUUAGCUUUGCGGUUAUCCCAAAUCACCGAGAUAAAAUAGUUGGUAAGAAGGUUGAGGAUGUGUUGAAGGAGUGGGGGCUGAAAAACAUUUCAACUAUUAUAGUAGAUAACGCGACAUCAAAUGAUGUUGCUGUUAAGUAUUUAGAGUAGAAAAUAAGAAACAUGAAUGGACUUUUGUUGGAUGGAUUUGGGUUUCACAUGAGGUGUCGUGCUCAUAUAUUGAAUUUGGUCGUGAGAGAUGGAUUAAAAGUAGCUAGCACCUCAAUUGCAAGUGUUAGAAAUGCAAUUAGGUUUGUAAGAUCUUCACCCCAUAGAGCUUUAAAGUUUAAUGAAUGUGUGGGUUAUGCCAAGAUUACAUGCAAGAAGUCGGUAUGUCUUGAUGUUUCAACUCGAUGGAACUCGACAUAUUUGAUGUUAGAUGCGGCUGAGAAGUUUGAAAUAGCUUUUGAUAAGCUAGAAGAUGGAGAUGAAGACUAUAGGGAUUUCUUUGACCGUGGUGAUUCCCCCUACUAGUCAAGAUUGGGAUAAUGUCAGGGUCUUUAUUAUGUUUUUGAAGAAUUAUUAUAAGCGACAGAGGUUUUUUCUAUUUCCACUAAAGCGAGCUUGCAUACGGCGUUUCCGUUCUUGGCUGGAAUUUACGUUGAGCUUAAGGAAUUAAACAUGGACCUUAAUGGAUUGUUUGCUAAUGUAUCUAGGGACAUGUUGGAUAAGUUUAAGAAAUACUGGAUUGAUAUCACUAAGAUGAACCAACUUCUCUAUUUCGGUGUUAUUUUUGAUCCCCGAUAUAAGUUAAGAUAUGUGGACUGGUGCUUUAAUGAUAUGUAUGGAGAAUCUUCAGAAACUAAGAAAUAUUUAUUAGAAGAUAUCAAUAACAAUCUCUCCAAAAAAUUUAUGGUUUACAAACAAGCCAAUGACAAUGCUGAAGGAUCUGUCCUGUCUAUGGCAGCCACUGUUUCUCAUUGUGAAACUGCUGCCAGCGUCGAAGUAUCGGCACAUGUGGCUAGACAGAAUGUAUUUCAGCAACACUUGCAGUCUAUGGAUUCGGUUGAAGAAGAAACUGAGCUACAGAGCUAUAUAAAAGAUAAAUGUAUAAGUUUUAGUGAAAAGGAUAAAGAUAAGUUUGAUAUUCUAUGUUGGUGGAAAUAUAAUGUUAGCAAAUAUCCAGUUCUGUCCCAAAUAGUUAGAGAUAUCAUGCCUACACCAGUUUCAACCGUGGCUUCUGAGAGUGCAUUCAGCACGGGUGGGAGAGUUUUAGAGGUAUAUAGAAGCUCUCUCAAACCAGAAAUGGCCGAGGCUUUAAUUUGUGCUCAAAACUGGUUAAGACCUUCCUUUCACCAAUUCAAAGACAUGGAAUUCAAUGAGGAGUACGAGAUUUCUGAAGAUACUUUACUGGGAUUUACUGAAACUUCACCUGAAAGUGGAACACUGUCUCCUUCUCGGACUCAGUCACAGCCUUCGGGCUGUGCUUGAAACAUAUUCAGCAACCACUUUUUGAAUUUUUUGGAGUCAUGAAUGACUCGUAAUAUUGAAUCCAUGAAUAACACAACCAACCACUUUUUGAAAGAAUAUCAACUUUUGAUUUUGAUCCAAGAGACUUUUGAAAGAUGUGUGUAUUUUGCAUCAACUAUCAAGAUAGCUGAUUGGAAAGGGAUCAGAACAAAUACUCCGCUCUAGAAUCUGGCCAUAAGCAUUCCUAAGUUUCUGGCCCCCUCAAUAUUGCUCUGUGUAUUCUGCACUUUGCUAGGAUUUUUUUAACGUGAUCGGAUUAUCUGUUGAGAUUUGGGUCAGCAUCUUAAUGCCUUAAUGCUCAUGGAACUCACCUGGCUUUACCAUGAAUUAAAGGGAUUAAUCAAGGCAAUGUGGGCAACCCAGUUCAGUUCAUGACCUGCAUCUGUUGCUGCACCUUCUCCAACUACAUCUCUUAGUGUUGUUCUUACUGCUGCUUCUUUAUCUUCAGCUACUGCUAUGAUUGAAAAUGAAAUUGGAAGAAAUUAGAAGAAAUUGGAGCUCUUGGAGAGAAAGAAAUUGAUUAAUUGUAAUUGGUUGUGUUGUUAUAUUAAAGUAGUAUUGGUUGUAUUAAUGUUGAGCAAAUAUUUGUAGACUCAAAAACUAAUAUUUU